GGAGAGAUGGCCGAGCGGUCGAAGGCGCUCCCCUGCUAAGGGAGUAAGGGCGAAAGCCCUUCGAGGGUUCGAAUCCCUCUCUCUCCGCCA
rnacentral:tRNA from 1 species